rnacentral:ncRNA from 1 species
CCGCUGCAAAACCCGGGGCGCGAGCCCGGGCGGAGCGGCCGUCGGUGCAGAUCUUGGUGGUAGUAGCAAAUAUUCAAAUGAGAACUUUGAAGGCCGAAGAGGAGAAAGGUUCCAUGUGAACGGCACUUGCACAUUGGUAAGCCGAUCCUAAGGGACGGGGUAACCCCGGCAGGCAGAGAUAGCUAGCGCGAGCGAUCGAUCACGCCGCAUCCCC